rnacentral:rRNA from 1 species
GAUGAACGCUGACAGAAUGCUUAACACAUGCAAGUCAACUUGAACUUCGGUUUGGGUGGCGGACGGGUGAGUAACGCGUAAAGAACUUGCCUCACAGAUAGGGACAACAUUUGGAAACGAAUGCUAAUACCUGAUAUUAUGAUUAUAUGGCAUCGUAUAAUUAUGAAAGCUAUCUGCGCUGUGAGAGGGCUUUGCGUCCCAUUAUCUAGUUGGAGAGGUAACGGCACACCAAGGCGAUGAUGGGUAGCCGGCCUGGAAGUGUGAUCGGCCACAAGGGGCCGGAGACACGGCCCUUACUCAUUCGGGCGGCAGGAGCGGAGAAUAUUGGACAAUGGACCAAGAGUCUGAUGCAGCUCUUCUGUGUGCACAAUGAAGUUUUUCGGAAUGUACAGUGCUUUAAGUUGGGAAGAAAAAAAUGACGGUACCAACAGAAGAAGUGACGGCUAAAUACGUG